rnacentral:rRNA from 1 species
GACGAACGCUGGCGGCGUGCUUAACACAUGCAAGUCGAACGGAAAGGCCCUGCUUUUGUGGGGUUCUCGAGUGGCGAACGGGUGAGUAACACGUGAGUAACCUGCCCUUGACUUUGGGAUAACUUCAGGAAACUGGGGCUAAUACCAGAUAGGAGCUCCUGCUGGAUGGUGAGGGUUGGAACGUUUCGGCUGUUGGGGUUGGACUCGCGGCUGAUCAGCUUGUUGGUGGGGUAGUGGCUUACCAAGGCUUGGACGGAUAGCUGGCUGGAGAGGGUGACCGGCCUCAUUGGGACUGCGAUACGGCCCAGACUCCUACGGGAGGCAGCAGUGGGGAAUAUUGCACAAUGGGCGGAAGCCGGAUGCAGCAACGCCGCGUGCGGGAUGACGGCCUUCGGGUUGUAAACCGCAUUCGCCUGUGACGAAGCGUGAGUGACGGUAAUGGGUAAAGAAGCACCGGCUAACUACGUG